GGCUAACGCUGGCGGCGUGUCUUAGCCAUGCAAGUCGAGCGGACUUAUGGGGUAACUUAUAAGUCAGCGGCGGACGGCGGAGUAACACGUAGCUAACCUACCCUCUGGACGGGGAUAACCUACCGAAAGGUGGGCUAAUACCCGAUGUAGUCAUCCUGUAUAGGGGUGAUGAAAGGUGGGCUUCUGUUUACAAGCUCAUGCUGGAGGAGGGGGCUGCGGCCUAUCAGGUAGUUGGUAGGGUAAUAGCCUACCAAGCCGAUGACGGGUAGCCGGCCUGAGAGGGUGACCGGCCCGAGGGGCACUGAGAUACGGGUCCCACUCCUACGGGAGGCAGCAGGCUAGAAAUUUGGGCAAUGGGGGAAACCCUGACCCAGUGACGCCGCGUGCAGGAAGGAGCCCUUCGGGGUGUAAACUGCUGUCGUGUAGGGAGAAGGGUACUAAGGUGAACAAUCCUUAGUACUUGACGGUACUACAGGAGGAAGCCCAGGCUAACCUCGUG
rnacentral:rRNA from 1 species